UACGGAGGGUGCUAGCGUUGUUCGGAAUCACUGGGCGUAAAGCGCGUGUAGGCGGUCCGUUAAGUCUGAUGUGAAAGCCCGGGGCUCACCCCCGGAAGUGCAUUGGAAACUGACGAACUCGAGUCCCGGAGAGGAGAAUGGAAUUCCUGGUGUAGCGGUGAAAUGCGUAGGAUAUCUGGAGGAACACCGGUGGCGAAGGCGG
rnacentral:rRNA from 1 species